UGACUCAGCCUUGUGCUACUGGUCCUAUUCUUAGUAACACUGUAUCUCUGUAUUGCAUAACUGAAUAUCACAGUAAGGUCAGCAUCCACACGUGUUAGUGUAAGUAGUUCACUUACAAAUCACUGAUGAUUUUCCAUGUCUGAGUGCGUAGAAGAGGUCUGAGUUAUAUUCCAGCUUGUUACUUUUUACACUGACUGGGGAUGAUAUCCUCAGGCAGUGGUUCAACUUCCAGCAACUUCCUCCUGUUACUCUAUCAUGGGUUUGCAUGCGGUCACCCCUAUCUGUAGUUGGAAUGCUGACAACACAACCUUUCUGUUCCAUGAACCGAGGGGAUUUACACCCACAGAAAGGCAGGGAUCCUGCCAGUGGCCAACUGCAGGGGCUGAUGGUGGGGAGGGGGACGUAUCUGACCACUGCAGCCCCUGCUCCAGGAUUAAAGGGAGGAAGCAUGGAUGAGGGUAAGAUCUCAGACGAUGACCUUGCUCCUGGCCAGGCGGCUCUGGUGGAGGUAUGACAGGCAGCUAUAACCUGUACCUGACAUCUUCAGCGCACAUUACACCAGGUUCCAGCCAAACUGUUUGGGGAAGCGAGGGGGAAGAUCCUUGGCGGUGAUUGACAGAGGAAUCCAUGCAGCAGCAGCAGCAGCAGCAACAGCAGUUAAGAUUUAAAUCAGUUCAUUAAAGUUCAUUAAAAACUUUUCUUUAAAUCUGCCAGGGCCUUGUUAUCUUUUAAGUUUCUUUUUUUUCAGUUUGUGUUUUGUUCAGUUGUUUACAGCACAUUUUUAUACUAAUGCAGAGUUGUACUGUUCGACAUCUGUUGUGUAAAAUCACAGAUGCUGCAUCUUUGGGGACUGAAUCAGUCAUGCAUUAAAAGUAGUCUGGUUAUACCGUAGCCCAAGAUGUUCAGUUAGAAAGGACUUCCUAUUGUUGUGGAACCUUUCUGUGUGAAUAUAACUUCAUGAGGCGAUAAUAACAGACUUUUACCUUUGCAUAGGAAAUUGCUAAUAACAUGGCAAAACGUAUACGUACAAAUUGUAAUUACAUCGGCAAUAUACUGUACAAAGAGGCUAGGCUUCAAAUAAUCGAAGUUAAGGUAAGAAUUCUUGGCAUAGAGAUUUAGCAUUUUGACCUUUAACAGUCUGUAUCCCCAAGGGUCUCUGAAGGUUGUUACCUGCACCCUAAAACAGAGCAACCCUCUUACACAAGGAGACUACUAAACAUAUGCUAAAUUCCAAUAUUCUGUGUACGCUUGCAAAUUGUCUCUCCAUUCAUCUCCCUGGCCUCUGCGAGUGUGGACGAGGCACACAGGUGUGUGUCAAAGCCUGCUCUUCAGCGAUAACUGAAAACUGCACAUGGAGAAGUCGGCGAUGCAGACAGCGUGGGAUGAUCAGGGGUCUGCAGAGAAACCAUCUGGGAGGCUGGAGGUAAUGAUAUGGAUUGUUCCUCCUGAAUGAUCGAAGGGGGAGAUUUUUUUGUUUGCAUUCUGUCAUUCUGCUGUGCUCUAUUUCCCUGCUUCGCACAAUGUUUUCCAUUUUCCUCACUUCUGUCUCGGCGUCUCACCCGCUCACACUCACACAUGCACACACACACACACACACACACACAGAGACAAACACAGAAACCACACAUUAUUUCAUCUCUACUGCUGUUUCUAUUUGUCCUCCUAUCUCUAGCUUGGUUUGCUCACAAAAAGUUCAGAGGAGAGGAAAGCAUCCACACAAUGUAAUGAUAGUAACCCUAUGAAUACAAUAAGACCCCCAUUAUGUUGUAAGAGCAUUGUGUUUGCAUGCUGGCUGUACUCUCUCCCCUUCGACACCCUGUAACCUGUAUGUAGGCUCUGCAUGGUCUACAUCCGUUAUGCCAAUAUUAUGUAUUAGGGAUGUUGGGGGGAGAGAAGUUGCUCUUUAUUAUUCAGCUCCAUGAUUGACUUGCUUGUGCGUCAGCCAUUAUGUUUCUUCAAAUUGUAAGGCAGAAAUGGAUCCUAGGAAUGGAAAAUCACAGAUGGCCUUCUUCCUCUGGUAACUGCUCAUUUGGUGAGGCCUAGGUGUUGGUUUAUGGUCCCUCCAACAAACAUUCCAGAGAUGCACUGUCCCAAUUGUUGAUCUUCCCACCCCCUGCUGAGACUCUUAUCUCAAACCUAUGUGCCUGGUUCUCUCUCUGUGCUUUUCCAUGCCGGGGUGAAACUAGGGGCAGAGAAAUGAAUGUAAGAGUGCUUAAGUGAAAUACUGCAUUGUAAUAUGAUUUCUUUGUCAUGUUUGGGUUUAUUUGAAUGGUCUCAGUCUGAGUGAUAAAGUGGUCUCAGUCCUGCAGCUGCAUAGAUUAGUUUUAACAUGGAUCUCAAAGACAUGAGAAUUCCGGUCUCUGUAAGUCGUAAGGUAACCUCUCUCUGGAGGGGGCAAACACCCUCCUUGGGUGAGAACCCCCUCCAUUUGUCUCUGUUAAUGUGUGAUCCUAAGCACGAGAAACCACUGCUCAUGUGGGUAAUUAAUAAACCAGAUGCAGGACUAAAAUGGGUACUUAAGGGUAAGACAGUCAAAGAACUUGGAGCAUUCUGUCUUCAGAUCUCCCUCACAUCCGUGUGAGUAGUCACUUCUAAGCAGCAGGUAUGUUCAUGUUCUCUAAGUGUUUUUAUGUUUCAUGUGGUGUUUUAGACUUAUGUUCUUCACUUUAGACUUGUUAGAUUUGUAACCUGUAGUAGUCACUUGUACCUGACGUAAUAAAUUGGUAAUUCUGACCCAC